rnacentral:rRNA from 1 species
UACAGAGGGUGCAAGCGUUGUUCGGAAUUAUUGGGCGUAAAGGGCGCGUAGGCGGUGCGGUAAGUCUGUAGUGAAAUCUCUGGGCUCAACUCAGAGUCUGCUGCAGAAACUGCCGUGCUUGAGUGUGGGAGAGGUGAGUGGAAUUCCCGGUGUAGCGGUGAAAUGCGCAGAUAUCAGGAGGAACACCAAUAGCGAAGGCAGCUCGCUGGGACGGUACUGACGCUAAGGCGCGAAAGCGUGGGGAGCGAACAGG